AUUGAAAUGUAAAAAGCCUGUAAGUCAGCUGGGAGAUACGUGAUGGAGAGCAGCGGGUAAACGUAAGAUCAUGGUCAGAGCACCAUUAAAUAGAAUCAAGGAUGAAGGGUCCCUCGUAAUUACCAACUCAGUGGCGCAGGACAACAAAGGGCGCGGGACCGAGAUGAAAUGGAGAAUUGAUCCGACUGCUGCGAAUUGUGUUCGUUAAGGAAAAAAAAAAUGAAUCGUCCAGCUAAGGUAUGAUACCUGUUCUGAAUACAGAGUGAAGAGAAGAUAUGUCUGGAAGCUUCCAGGUGUUUUAGACCCUUAGGUAAGAAGAGUCCGAGCCCAGUCCCAAAGAAACCAUGAGAUGGCUUAGUCGGCCGGAAUUGGAGGAGGGGUUGGAGGUAGGAAGGAAAGCUUGUCCGAGGCAUUUUUGUUGUUUGAAGGUUUAGGUCUUCAUCUGACGGGAAUGCUGGAUUGAUGUUGCCUGACCGCGCAUCACCGGAUGAUAUCUCGAGAAGCUGGUCUUAAUGGUAUGGCUUCGAGGUGCACCGGCGUGCCCUCAAAGAAGACCGUACCGACACGUCGAUGUCAUCGUUGGUGUUGCGGUUGUAAAAGGUAACCGUAACCGUUGUUCCUCUCUUUAUCGUUAGGGAUGGAAUGGCAUUCGCGGCAGAUUGAGUUUUGCCCGGAUGGCCCGAUUUGGCACCCCUUUGAGCGUAAGCGAGAAGGAAAGGUUCUGCCAAAUCCAACAGAUGAUGAGCAUAGACAAUGAGAAC
rnacentral:misc_RNA from 1 species